rnacentral:rRNA from 1 species
UCCGCAAACAUGGGAAUGAAGCACCGGCCCAGAAUCCUUACGGAGGCAGCAAGUGGGGAAUUUUAGACCAUUGGCGGAAAGCCUGAUCUUGGCCAUGCCGCCUGAGUGAUGAAGGUCUUAGGAUCGUAAAGCUUCUUCGCUAGGGAUGAUAAUGACAGUACCUAGUAAAGAAGCCCCGGCUAACUCCGUGCCAGCAGCCGCGGUAAUACGGAGGGGGCUAGCGUUGUUCGGAAUUACUGGGCGUAAAGCGUACGUAGGCGGAUCAGAAAGUAUGGGGUGAAAUCCAGGGCUUAACCCUGGAACUGCCUCAUAAACUCCUGGUCUUGAGUUCGAGAGAGGUGAGUGGAAUUCCAAGUGUAGAGGUGAAAUUCGUAGAUAUUUGGAGGAACACCAGUGGCGAAGGCGGCUCACUGGCUCGAUACUGACGCUGAGGUACGAAAGUGUGGGGAGCAAACAGGAUUAGAUACCCUGGUAGUCCACACCGUAAACGAUGAAUGCCAGUCGUCGGGCAGUAUACUGUUCGGUGACACACCUAACGGAUUAAGCAUUCCGCCUGGGGAGUACGGUCGCAAGAUUAAGACUCAAAGGAAUUGACGGGGGCCCGCACAAGCGGUGGAGCUUGUGGUUUAAUUCGAAGCGACUCGCAGAACCUUCCGCUUAUACCUGCCUGGCCGUCUUAAGUUGACUGUUCACCAGCGUCUCAR